rnacentral:lncRNA from 1 species
AACCAAUGGACGCGUCGCCGAACGUCACGUUGUUCAUACAGCCCUAUGGGGGGGGGGGGGAGAAUGGGGUCACGUGGUACUAUAACGGGUGUGGGGUCACGUGGUACUAUAAGGGGUAUGGGGUCAUACAGCCCUAUGGGGGUAUGGGGUCACGUGGUACUAUAACGGGUAUGGGGUCAUACAGCCCUAUGGGGGAAUGGGGUCACGUGGGUACUAUAGGGGUAUGGGGUCACACAGCCCUAUGGGGGAAUGGGGUCACACAGCCCUAUGGGGGGGGGAAUGGGGUCACGUGGUACUAUAGGGGUAUGGGGUCAGACAGCCCUAUGGGGGGAAUGGGGUCAUGUGGUACUAUAACGGGUAUGGGGUCAUACAGCCCUAUGGGGGGAAUGGGGUCAUACAGCCCUAUGGGGGUAUGGGGUCACGUGGUACUAUAACGGGUAUGGGGUCAUACAGCCCUAUGGGGGUAUGGGGUCAGACAGCCCUAUAAUGGGUAUGGGUGGUAUGGGGUCAUACAGCCCUAUAGGGUUAUGGGGUCACGUGGUACUAUAAGGGGUAUGGGGUCACACAGCCCUAUGGGGGGGGAAUGGGGUCACGUGGUACUAUAGGGGUAUGGGGUCAGACAGCCCUAUGGGGGGAAUGGGGUCAGACAGCCCUAUGGGGGGAAUGGGGUCACGUGGUACUAUAACGGGUAUGGGGUCACACAGCCCUAUGGGGGUAUGGGGUCACACAGCCCUAUGUGGGAAUGGGGUCAUGUGGUACUAUAGCAGGUAUGGGGUCACACAGCCCUAUGGGGGAAUGGGGUCACACAGCCCUAUAAGAGGUACGGGGACAGACAGCCCUAUAGGGGGUAUGGGGUCAUGUGGUACUAUAACGGGUAUGGGGUCAUACAGCCCUAUGGGUGCAAUGGGGUCACACAGCCCUAUGAGGGCAAUGGGGUCAGACAGCCCUAUGGGGGCAAUAGGGUCAGACAGCCCUAUAACGGCUAUGGGUGGUAUGGGGUCACACAGCCUGUGGGGGUAUGGGGUCAGAUGGCCCUAUGGGGGAAUGCGGUCAUGUGGUACUAUAACGGGUAUGGGGUCAUACAGCCCUAUAAGGGGCAUGGGGUCAGACAACCCUAUGGGGGUAGGGGGUCAUACAGCCCUAUAGUGGCAUGGGGUCACACAGCCCUAUAGGGGGAAUGGGGGUCACACAGCCCUAUAAGAGGUAUGGGGACAGACAGCCCUAUGGGGGUAUGGGUCAGACUGCCCUAUGGGGGAAUGGGUCACACAGCCCUACAAGGGGUAUGGGGUCAUGUGGUACUAUAACGGGUAUGGAGUCAUACAGCCCUAUAGGGGGUAUGGGUUCACACAGCCCUAUAGGGGUAUGGGGUCAUGUGGUACUAUAACGGGUAUGGGGUCACACAGCCCUAUGGGGGUAUGGGGUCACGUGGUACUAUAACGGGUAUGGGGUCACACAGCCCUAUGGGGGUAUGGGGUCACACAGCCCUAUAAGAGGUAUGGGGACAGACAGCCCUAUAGGGGUAUGGGGUCAUAUGGCCCUAUGGGGGAAUGGGGUCACGUGGUACUAUAAGGGGUAUGGGGUCACACGCUCGCUAUCUGGCAGUGCCGGGGAAUGGUAUGGAUCCCUAUAGGAUUCUUGCUGGUUCACUUUGUGGCAAUACCUGGAUCUGUAUGGCUCCCUAUGGGGUUUCCAAACGGAUCACUUUGUGGCAAUACCAGGAUGGCUCUGGCUCCCUAAGGGAUUCCCAGUGGCUCCCUUUGUGGCAGUACCUGAAUCUCUCUGGGUCCCUAUGAGGUUCCCAACGGCUCCCUUUGUGGCAGUACCUCAUGUCUGUAUGGCUCCCUAUAUGACUCACCACAGCUCCCUUUGUGGCAGUACCUGGGGUCUAUAUGAC